AGUGAACGCUGGCGGUAGGCCUAACACAUGCAAGUCGAACGGCAGCACAGUAAGAGCUUGCUCUUACGGGUGGCGAGUGGCGGACGGGUGAGGAAUACAUCGGAAUCUACUUUUUCGUGGGGGAUAACGUAGGGAAACUUACGCUAAUACCGCAUACGACCUACGGGUGAAAGCAGGGGAUCUUCGGACCUUGCGCGAUUGAAUGAGCCGAUGUCGGAUUAGCUAGUUGGCGGGGUAAAGGCCCACCAAGGCGACGAUCCGUAGCUGGUCUGAGAGGAUGAUCAGCCACACUGGAACUGAGACACGGUCCAGACUCCUACGGGAGGCAGCAGUGGGGAAUAUUGGACAAUGGGCGCAAGCCUGAUCAAGCCAUACCGCGUGGGGGAAGAAGGCCUUCGGGUUGUAAAGCCCUUUUGUUGGGAAAGAAAAGCAGCAGGUUAAUACCGCGCUGUUCUGACGGUACCCAAAGAAUAAGCACCGGCUAACUUCGUG
rnacentral:rRNA from 1 species